rnacentral:rRNA from 1 species
UGGGGAAUAUUGGACAAUGGGCGCAAGCCUGAUCCAGCAAUGCCGCGUGUGUGAAGAAGGCCUUCGGGUUGUAAAGCACUUUUAUCAGGAGCGAAAUCUGCAGGGCUAAUACCCAUGCAGUCUGACGGUACCUGAGGAAUAAGCACCGGCUAACUCCGUGCCAGCAGCCGCGGUAAUACGGAGGGUGCAAGCGUUAAUCGGAAUUACUGGGCGUAAAGCGUGCGUAGGCGGUUGGUUAAGUCUGCUGUGAAAGCCCCGGGCUCAACCUGGGAAUGGCAGUGGAUACUGGCUAGCUAGAGUGUGAUAGAGGAUGGUGGAAUUCCCGGUGUAGCGGUGAAAUGCGUAGAGAUCGGGAGGAACAUCAGUGGCGAAGGCGGCCAUCUGGAUCAACACUGACGCUGAGGCACGAAAGCGUGGGGAGCAAAC